rnacentral:tRNA from 1 species
GCCUGGGUGGCUUGGUUGGUUAAGCAUCCGACUUCGGCUCAGGUCAUGAUCUCACGGUCCGUGGGUUCGAGCCCCGCGUCGGGCU